rnacentral:rRNA from 1 species
UAGGGAAUCUUCCGCAAUGGGCGAAAGCUUGACGGAGCAACGCCGCGUGAGUGAUGAAGGUCUUCGGAUCGUAAAACUCUGUUAUUAGGGAAGAACAAAUGUGUAAGUAACUAUGCACGUCUUGACGGUACCUAAUCAGAAAGCCACGGCUAACUACGUGCCAGCAGCCGCGGUAAUACGUAGGUGGCAAGCGUUAUCCGGAAUUAUUGGGCGUAAAGCGCGCGUAGGCGGUUUUUUAAGUCUGAUGUGAAAGCCCACGGCUCAACCGUGGAAGGUCAUUGGAAACUGGAAAACUUGAGUGCAGAAGAGGAAAGUGGAAUUCCAUGUGUAGCGGUGAAAUGCGCAGAGAUAUGGAGGAACACCAGUGGCGAAGGCGACUUUCUGGUCUGUAACUGACGCUGAUGUGCGAAAGCGUGGGGAUCAAACAGG